rnacentral:piRNA from 1 species
UGCACUAAAGAAAGAGGGCCCCUGACUAA